rnacentral:rRNA from 1 species
AUUGAACGCUGGCGGCAGGCCUAACACAUGCAAGUCGAACGCGUGGCGGACGGGUGAGUAAUGUCUGGGAAACUGCCCGCUGGAGGGGGAUAAAUACUGGAAACGGUAGCUAAUACCGCAUACCAGCGGAUGUGCCCAGAUGGGAUUAGCUAGUGGGUGGGGUAUAGGCUCACCUAGGCGACGAUCCCUAGCUGGUCUGAGAGGAGGACCAGCCACACUGGAACUGAGACACGGUCCAGACUCCUACGGGAGGCAUCAGUGGGGAAUAUUGCACAAUGGGCGCAAGCCUGAUACAGCCAUGCCGCGUGUAUGAAGAAGGCCUUCGGGUUGUAAAGUACUUUCAGCGAGGAGGCGUUACUCGCAGAAGAAGCACCGGCUAACUCCGUGCCAGCCGCCGCGGUAAUAC